rnacentral:snRNA from 1 species
UGAGAAACUUGAAGUAUCUCAC